rnacentral:rRNA from 1 species
UACGAAGGGGGCUAGCGUUGCUCGGAAUCACUGGGCGUAAAGCGCGCGUAGGCGGGUCUUUAAGUCAGGGGUGAAAUCCUGGAGCUCAACUCCAGAACUGCCUUUGAUACUGAAGAUCUUGAGUCCGGGAGAGGUGAGUGGAACUGCGAGUGUAGAGGUGAAAUUCGUAGAUAUUCGCAAGAACACCAGUGGCGAAGGCGGCUCACUGGCCCGAUACUGACGCUGAGGCGCGAAAGCGUGGGGAGCAAACAGG